UACGAAGGGGGCUAGCGUUGCUCGGAAUCACUGGGCGUAAAGCGCACGUAGGCGGAUCUUUAAGGCAGGGGUGAAAUCCUGGAGCUCAACUCCAGAACUGCCUUUGAUACUGGGGAUCUCGAGUCCGGAAGAGGUGAGUGGAGCUCCGAGUGUAGAGGUGAAAUUCGUAGAUAUUCGGAAGAACACCAGUGGCGAAGGCGGCUCACUGGUCCGGUACUGACGCUGAGGUGCGAAAGCGUGGGGAGCAAACAGG
rnacentral:rRNA from 1 species